rnacentral:rRNA from 1 species
UGCGAAAUUAACUACUGCGUAUGGUGGAUGCCUUGGCUGACAAAGCUGAAGAAGGACGCUCAAAAGUGGCGAUAUCUUCGACUAGAGACUAAUGCUCGUUUUAAGUCGGAGGUUUCCGAAUGGGGAAACCCUUACAGGGUAAUGCCUGUAAACCCACAACCCAAAACAUAAGUUGUGAGGAAGCAAGCUGGUGAACUGAAACAUCUAAGUAACCAGAGGAAAAGAAAUAAUUCCGAAAGUAGUGGCGAGCGAAAUCGGAGUAGCCCAAACCUAAGAUAGCUUAGGGGAUUAUUCAAGUUGCGCUUUGCGCAAGGAGGAUUUUCAACUACUGUUUCGGCAGUCUAAACAUCUUGGGUGUUGCAAGAGCUUUUGUUCGAGAACCGAAAAACUCGGAGUGAAGUUACAAAAUUUUUUAUCUAGUUUAAUUCUCUUGGAAAAUUGAAUCAUAGAGGGUGAUAGUCCCGUGAACGAAAGGUAAAAAAUCUUCUCAAAAAGAUUUCUUAAGUAAUACCGAAUAGGUGAAAGUUGGUAUGAAUCUAGGGUAACCAAGCCCUAAGGCUAAAUACUUUGUCAGACCGAUAGUGAACUAGUACCGAGAGGGAAAGGUGAAAAGAACCCCUGUUAGGGGAGUGAAAUAGAACCUGAAACCGUACGCUUACAAUCCGUGGAAGUGGACUUUUCUUUUUGAAAAGAUUCCAUAUCUGCGUGCCUAUUGAAGAAUGAACCGUCGAGUUAUUUUAUUUAGCAAGGUUAAGUUAUUAUGUAAUGUAGCCAUAGCGAAAGCGAGUCUGAAUAGGGCGAAUUAGUUAAAUGAAAUAGACCCGAAGCCGUGUGACCUAACCAUGAGCAGGAUGAAGCCCCACGAAAGUGGGUUGGAGGUCCGAACGGGUUAGUGCUGCAAAACUAUCCGAUGACUUGUGGUUAGUAGUAAUAAGCCAAUCGAACACGGAAAUAGCUGGCUCUCCCUGAAAUAGCUUUAGGGCUAGCCUUGAAAUUUAAACACUGGAGGUAGAGCUCUGCUUGAAUCGUGGGCUUCCUCGGGAGGUACCACAUUCUCGCAAACUGCGAAUGCUAGUGUGUAUAUUUCAGGAGUCAGUCCCCGGGUGCUAAGGUCCGGUGGGCAAGAGGGAAACAUCCCAGAUCAUCUGCUAAGGUCCCCAAUUAACGCUAAGUGGAAAAGGAAGUGAUUGACCUAAUACAGCCAGGAGGUUUGCUCAGAGGCAGCAAUCCUUUAAAGAGUGCGUAAUAGCUCACUGGUCUAGGUCGAUUGCGUCACAAAUCAACGGGGCUCAAGCGUUAUACCGAUGCUGUGAAUUCUCCACUAUGUGGAGUCUGGUAAGGGAGUGUUCUAUACUGCAAUGAAGCCAAAGCUGUAAGGCAUGGUGGAGUGUAUAGAAGUAAGAAUGACGGUAUGAGUAGCGUAGAAUGAUGGUGAAAAACCUUCACGCCGAAAAUCCAAGGGUUCCGAUCCAAUGUUAAUCAGGGUCGGGUUAGUCGAUCCUAAGCUCAGGACGAAAGUCGUAGGCGAUGGAUGAGCAGUUAAUAUUCUGCUACUUGGAUAAGUUCGUUAUUAACUAAGGAAGGACGCUGACUGAGAAGCUUUCUGGUCCAUAGGUGGAUCAGUAAAUAACAAGUUAGAAAAUACAGGCAAAUCCGUAUUUUUGCAGUUACGCUUAGGUGUAAUGUAUGCGAGUUAUGAUGCAAAGGUUUUGGAUUCGUUCAAAACUGAAGAUAAGCAAUUAGGCAGACUAGAAAAUUUUCGUAGUGAGAACUUAUUCAAAUCGUACCGGAAACCGUCACUGGUGGAUAAGUGUAAAUGCACUAAGGCGAUCGUGUGAUACUUCGUCAGGGAAUUCGGCAAAAUAACCCCGUACGUUCGCAAGAAGGGGUGGUUCGCAACAUUGGUUUUACUUUUGUUGAUCGAACUCUCAGAAAAUAGGCCUCCUCGACUGUUUAACUAAAACACAGGUUCCUGCUAACACGAAAGUGGAUGUAUAGGAGCUGAGACCUGCCCAAUGCCAGAAGAUUAAGCGAGUUGCUUCACGGCGAUGAGUUAAGUCCUGGUGAAUGGCGGCUGUAACUAUAACGGUCCUAAGGUAGCGAAAUUCCUCGGCGCUUAAUAGGCGUCCCGCAUGAAAGGUUUAACGAGGGAGGCGCUGUCCCGACGAAGUGCACGGUGAACAUUGAAUUGACUGUGAAGAUGCGGUCUAGAUCUACCCGGACAAAAAGACCCCGUGGAGCUUUACUGCAACUUGGUAUUGUGAUAAGACUUAUACUACAUAGUGUAAGGGGGAGCGAUGAAACCCUUUCUUUGGGAAGGGUGAAUGCGAAAGUGUAACACCUCUUAGUAUAUUUUUUAUCUCUAACUGAGGCCGUGAUCCGGUCAUCAGGACAUUGCUAGGUGGGCAGUUUAACUGGGGCGGUUUCCUGCUAAAAAGUACCGCAGGAUUUCAAAGGUCGACUCAACUCCAAUGGAAACGGAGUGUAGAGCGCAAUGGCAUAAGUCGGCUUUACUGUGAGACCCACAAGUCGAGCAGUUACGAAAGUAGGACAUAGUGACCCUUUGUCUACAAUUGGAAGUGGCAUUGUUUAUAGGAUAAAAGUUACCCCGGGGAUAACAGGCUAGUCUUGCCCGAGCGUCCAUAGCGACGGCAAGGUUCGGCACCUCGAUGUCGGCUCGUCGUAUCCUGGAGCUGUAGAAGGUUCCAAGGGUUGGGCUGUUCGCCCAUUAAAACGGCACGUGAGCUGGGUUCAAACCGACGUGAGUCAGGUUGGUCUCUAUCCGGUAGAUCCGUUCGAAACUUGAGAAGAUUGACCCUUAGUACGAGAGGACCAGGGCCAGGCAACCUCCGGUAUAUGAGUCGUUCCACCAGGAGCGUCGCUCAGUAGCUGAGUUGCUAUUAGGAUAAACGCUGAAAGCAUAUAAGCGUGAAGCCAACUUCAAGAUGAGGUUUCGUUAUCAGGCUCGUCGAAGAUCACGACGUUGAUAGGCGGCAGGUGUAAGUAUCGUGAGAUACUUAGCCGAGCCGUACUAAUGCCCGAAGAUUUUGCAUA